rnacentral:rRNA from 1 species
GAGUUUGAUCAUGGCUCAGGACGAACGCUGGCGGUGCGCCUCAUGCAUGCAAGUCGAGCGAAGCUUUUCAGUAGUUUACUACAGAAAAUGACUGAGCGGCGAACGGGUGAGUAACGCGUGAGCAAUCUACCUUAGUUACAGGGAUAGCCCGAGGAAACUCGGAUUAAUACCUGAUAUUCUUUAUUUCUCGCAUGAGAAUAAAAGGAAAGGUCAGCCGAACUAAGAUGAGCUCGCGUUCUAUCAGCUAGUUGGUGAGGUAAAAGCUUACCAAGGCUACGACGGAUAGCUGGUCUGAGAGGACGAUCAGCCACACUGGGACUGAGACACGGCCCAGACUCCUACGGGAGGCUGCAGCAGGGAAUAUUGUGCAAUGAACGAAAGUUUGACACAGCGACACCGCGUGUGGGAUGACGGAUCUAGGUUUGUAAACCACUUUCAGGAGGGAAGAAAAUGACGGUACCUCCACAAGAAGCCCCGGCCAACUACGUGCCAGCAGCCGCGGUAAUACGUAGGGGGCGAGCGUUGUCCGGAUUUAUUGGGCGUAAAGAGCUCGUAGGCGGUUCAACAAGUCGGUCGUGAAAGUUCAGGGCUCAACCCUGAAAUGUCGAUCGAUACUGUUGUGACUAGGAUACGGUAGAGGUGAGUGGAAUUCCGAGUGUAGCGGUGAAAUGCGUAGAUAUUCGGAGGAACACCAAUUGCGAAAGCAGCUCACUGGGCCGCUAUCGACGCUGAGGAGCGAAAGCUAGGGGAGCAAACAGGAUUAGAUACCCUGGUAGUCCUAGCUGUAAACGAUGGAUACUAGAUGUAGAACUGGAUUGACGGUUUCUGUAUCGCAGCUAACGCGUUAAGUAUCCCGCCUGGGGAGUACGUCGCAAGACUAAAACUCAAGGAAUUGACGGGACCCCGCACAAGCGGCGAGCAUGCNCUUAAUUCGAUGAUACCCGUAGANNUUACCUGNCUUGACAUAUAGGUCAAGCUAUAGAAGAAUAAUAGUGUGCAUUAGCG